GAUUGGCCCAAGUGGGAUUAGCUAGUUGGUGAGGUAAUGGCUCACCAAGGCAACGAUCCCUAGCUGGUUUGAGAGGAUGAUCAGCCACACUGGAAUUGAGACACGGUCCAGACUCCUACGGGAGGCAGCAGUUGGGAAUAUUGCCCAAUGGGCGCAAGCCUGAUGCAGCCAUGCCGCGUGUGUGAAGAAGGCUUCGGGUUGUAAAGCACUUUCAGUCAGGAGGAAAGGUUAGUAGUUAAUACCUGCUAGCUGUGACGUUACUGACAGAAGAAGCAC
rnacentral:rRNA from 1 species